rnacentral:rRNA from 1 species
UACGGAGGAUCCAAGCGUUAUCCGGAUUAUUGGGUUUAAAGGGUGCGUAGGCGGCCUGUUAAGUCAGGGGUGAAAGACGGUAGCUCAACUAUCGCAGUGCCCUUGAUACUGAUGGGCUUGAAUAGACUAGAGGUAGGCGGAAUGUGACAAGUAGCGGUGAAAUGCAUAGAUAUGUCACAGAACACCGAUUGCGAAGGCAGCUUACUAUGGUCUUAUUGACGCUGAGGCACGAAAGCGUGGGGAUCAAACAGG